rnacentral:rRNA from 1 species
CCUUAGAGUUUGAUCCUGGCUCAGAGCGAACGCUGGCGGCAGGCCUAACACAUGCAAGUCGAACGGACCCUUCGGGGUUAGUGGCGGACGGGUGAGUAACACGUGGGAACGUGCCUUUAGGUUCGGAAUAGCUCCUGGAAACGGGUGGUAAUGCCGAAUGUGCCCUUCGGGGGAAAGAUUUAUCGCCUUUAGAGCGGCCCGCGUCUGAUUAGCUUGUUGGUGGGGUAAUGGCCCACCAAGGCUACGAUCAGUAGCUGGUCUGAGAGGAUGACCAGCCACAUUGGGACUGAGACACGGCCCAAACUCCUACGGGAGGCAGCAGUGGGGAAUCUUGCGCAAUGGGCGAAAGCCUGACGCAGCCAUGCCGCGUGUAUGAUGAAGGUCUUAGGAUUGUAAAAUACUUUCACCGGUGAAGAUAAUGACUGUAGCCGGAGAAGAAGCCCCGGCUAACUUCGUGCCAGCAGCCGCGGUAAUACGAAGGGGGCUAGCGUUGCUCGGAAUUACUGGGCGUAAAGGGAGCGUAGGCGGACAUUUAAGUCAGAGGUGAAAUCCCGGAGCUCAACUCCGGAACUGCCUUUGAUACUGGGUGUCUUGAGUGUGAGAGAGGUAUGUGGAACUCCGAGUGUAGAGGUGAAAUUCGUAGAUAUUCGGAAGAACACCAGUGGCGAAGGCGACAUACUGGCUCAUUACUGACGCUGAGGCUCGAAAGCGUGGGGAGCAAACAGGAUUAGAUACCCUGGUAGUCCACGCCGUAAACGAUGAUUGCUAGUUGUCGGGGAGUUUACUUCUCGGUGACGCAGCUAACGCAUUAAGCAAUCCGCCUGGGGAGUACGGUCG